rfam:Ictidomys tridecemlineatus contig048226, whole genome shotgun sequence.
GGGAGUGUAGUUCAGUGAUAGAGCCCUUGCCUAAUAUGCAUGAGGCCCUGGGUUCAAUCCCUAGCACCACCA